UACGGAGGGUGCAAGCGUUAUCCGGAUUUAUUAGGUUUAAAGGGUGCGUAGGCGGAAGCUUAAGUCAGUGGUAAAAGGCAAUAGCUUAACUACUGUAAGCCAUUGAUACUGGGUCUCUUGAGUACGGUAGAGGUAGGCGGAAUGUGUUGUGUAGCGGUGAAAUGCAUAGAUAUAACACAGAACACCGAUUGCGAAGGCAGCUUACUAUGCCGUUACUGACGCUGAUGCACGAAAGCGUGGGGAUCAAACAGG
rnacentral:rRNA from 1 species